rnacentral:rRNA from 1 species
UAAGUGGGUAGCGAAAGCGUCCGGCUCAACCGGAUAUACAUUAUCUAAACUGCUCAGCUAGAGGACGAGAGAGGUUAUUGGAAUUCCUAGUGUAGGGGUAAAUCCGUUGAUAUUAGGAGGAACACCGAUGGCGUAGGCAGAUAACUGGCUCGUUCCUGACACUAAGGCACGAAAGCGUGGGUAGCAAACAGGAUUAGAUACCCUGGUAGUCCACGCCGUAAACGAUGGAUGCUA